rnacentral:rRNA from 1 species
AUGCCGUUCACCCCGGGACCCUACUCCGGCAAGAGCACCCUCGCCCUCGUGGCCAGGGUCUCCGCCGUCGGCGUCGGCCUCGUCUACGCCUCCGUCAAGCUCGGCAUCCUCAAGAUGACCAAGCCCAAGGAGGAAGCAGCUGCUGCUCAUCACUGA